CACACUGCUGCCACUGCUGCUGGCAAAGCUUUGGCUCACGUAUCCAGCUGCAGGCUUGCAGUAGCAGCAGUAUCAGGACCGCAGUUUUAGGACCGCAGAAAUAUGACCCUUCAUUUUUCAACAGUUCCCGGAAGUAAGCGGCACAUGCUAGCAGCGCAAUGGAGUUACAGCAGAAAAGACUGGCUGUGAUGUACUUUUAACGGGAGCACUGGGUGGUGGAGGAGCAGUGAUGCUGCAGGACCACUGUGUGAGAGAGGACGCUGCAGAUAAGUGCUGAGUCGACCUUGGUGAGACUUAAAACUUAACAAGCACAAGAACAACAGGGGGAUGCAAUGGAGCCUGAACUCACCCUGCAAUGAAACAACCCCCUUAUCCUGAGUCUCAACUCUGUGGGUUUUGCAAGCCUUUCCCUGUUCCUUAUUUUUAAUAAACCAAACGCUGAGCUUCC